rnacentral:misc_RNA from 1 species
GACAGAGGGUGCAAACGUUGCUCGGAAUUACUGGGCGUAAAGCGCGUGUAGGCGGAUCGGAAAGUCAGAUGUGAAAGCCCUGGGCUCAACCCAGGAACUGCAUUUGAAACUCUCGGUCUAGAGUAGUGGAGAGGGAAGUGGAAUUCCUGGUGUAGAGGUGAAAUUCGUAGAUAUCAGGAGGAACACCAGUGGCGAAGGCGGCUUCCUGGACACUAACUGACGCUGAGACGCGAAAGCGUGGGGAUCAAACAGG